CCUACGGGAGGCAGCAGUGAGGAAUAUUGGUCAAUGGAGGAAACUCUGACCCAGCAACGCCGCGUGAAUGAUGAAGGUCUUCGGAUUGUAAAGUUCUUUUCUAAGGGAAGAAGAAAGUGACGGUACCUUAGGAAUAAGCCUCGGCUAACUACGUGCCUGCAGCCGCUGUAAUACGUAGGCGGCAAGCGUUAUCCGGAAUGACUGGGCGUAAAGGUUGAGUAGGUGGGUUGACAAGUUGGUAGCGUAACUCCGGGGGUCAACCCCUGCAGUACUACCGAAACUGUCGGACUUGAGUGCAGGAGAGGUAUAUGGAAUGCCUGGUGUAGCGGUGGAAUGCAUAGAUAUUAGGAGGAACACCAGUGGCGAAGGCGAUUUGCUGGCCUGUAACUGACACUGAGGCACGAAAGCGUGGGGAGCAAACAGGAUUAGAUACCCUAGUAGUC
rnacentral:rRNA from 1 species